CGCUGGCGGCGUGCUUAACACAUGCAAGUCGAACGAGAAAGGGAUUGCUUGCAAUCCUGAGUAGAGUGGCGCACGGGUGAGUAACACGUAGAUAAUCUACCUUCAAGCCUGGAAUAACUAUUCGAAAGGAUAGCUAAUACCGGAUGAAGUUGUUCAACUCAAGUUGAAUUAUGAAAGAUUGCCUCUUCUUGAAAGCAAUUGUUUGGAGAUGAGUUUGCGGACCAUUAGUUUGUUGGUGGGGUAAAGGCCUACCAAGACUACGAUGGUUAGCUGGUCUGAGAGGAUGAUCAGCCACACUGGAACUGGUACACGGUCCAGACUCCUACGGGAGGCAGCAGUGAGGAAUUUUGCGCAAUGGGGGAAACCCUGACGCAGCAACGCCGCGUGAGUGAAGAAGGCCCUUGGGUCGUAAAGCUCUGUCGACAGGGAUGAAAUUGUUUCAUAUUAAUAGUAUGUCGCAUUGACGGUACCUGUAGAGGAAGCACCGGCUAACUCCGUGCCAGCAGCCGCGGUAAUACGGGGGGUGCAAGCGUUAUUCGGAAUUAUUGGGCGUAAAGGGCACGUAGGCGGUCUUGUCGGUCAGAUGUGAAAGCCCAGGGCUCAACCCUGGACGUGCAUUUGAAACAGCAAGACUUGAGUACGGGAGAGGAAAGCGGAAUUCCUGGUGUAGAGGUGAAAUUCGUAGAUAUCAGGAGGAACACCGAUGGCGAAGGCAGCUUUCUGGACCGAUACUGACGCUGAGGCGCGAAGGCGUGGGUAGCGAACAGGAUUAGAUACCCUGGUAGUCCACGCAGUAAACGAUGUUCACUAGGUGUAGCGGGUAUUAAAAUCUGCUGUGCCCAAGCUAACGCAUUAAGUGAACC
rnacentral:rRNA from 1 species